AUUGAACGCUGGCGGCAGGCCUAACACAUGCAAGUCGAACGGCAGCACAGGAGAGCUUGCUCUCUGGGUGGCGAGUGGCGGACGGGUGAGGAAUACAUCGGAAUCUACCUUUUCGUGGGGGAUAACGUAGGGAAACUUACGCUAAUACCGCAUACGACCUACGGGUGAAAGUGGGGGACCGCAAGGCCUCACGCGAUUAGAUGAGCCGAUGUACGAUUAGCUAGUUGGCGGGGUAAUGGCCAACCAAGGCGAAGAUCGGUAGCUGGUCUGAGGGGAUGAUCAGCCACACUGGAACUGAGACACGGUCCAGACUCCUACGGGAGGCAGCAGUGGGGAAUAUUGGACAAUGGGCGCAAGCCUGAUCCAGCCAUACCGCGUGGGUGAAGAAGGCCUUCGGGUUGUAAAGCCCUUUUGUUGGGAAAGAAAUCCUAUCGGUUAAUAACCGGUGGGGAUGACGGUACCCAAAGAAUAAGCACCGGCUAACUUCGUGCCAGCCGCCGCGGUAAGAC
rnacentral:rRNA from 1 species